rnacentral:tRNA from 1 species
GGGCAGGUACCGAAGUGGACAAACGGGGCUGACUGUAAAUCAGCUGGCAGACGCCUUCGGCGGUUCGAAUCCGUCCCUGCCCA